ACUGAGCAUCAGUCAAGAGGAAUUCAUUACGAAAGCAGAACCUCACAAACAUAAGACUGUCAAAGAAGACUACGUUCGUAGUGCUGACUAAUGAUCGUAGAGUCAUCAGUCCUGAAAAAUAUCCAUACCUACAAACAGGGAGAUCUAAGUGAUAAUGGUGAUUCCAGUCAGAAGGAGAUUUGCAAGGCUGCCUUCUAAUACAUAUGUGGAAAAGGGAAUCACAGAUGAGAAAAUAGCAUUAACCAUGGGGAGCAGUGAUCUGUUGAGAAACAACAGCACUGAGUUUUACUAUGAAGAA
rnacentral:lncRNA from 1 species